CGACGAUGUCUUCGGACAUAGUGGCAGACGGGUGAGUAACGCGUGGGAAUAUACCUUUCGGUACGGAACAACAGUUGGAAACGACUGCUAAUACCGUAUGCGCCCUACGGGGGAAAGAUUUAUCGCCGAAGGAUUAGCCCGCGUUGGAUUAGCUAGUUGGUGGGGUAAAGGCCUACCAAGGCGACGAUCCAUAGCUGGUCUGAGAGGAUGAUCAGCCACACUGGGACUGAGACACGGCCCAGACUCCUACGGGAGGCAGCAGUGGGGAAUAUUGGACAAUGGGGGCAACCCUGAUCCAGCCAUGCCGCGUGAGUGAUGAAGGCCUUAGGGUUGUAAAGCUCUUUCAGCGAGGAGGAUAAUGACGUUACUCGCAGAAGAAGCCCCGGCUAACUUCGUGCCAGCAGCCGCGGUAAUACGAAGGGGGCUAGCGUUGUUCGGAAUCACUGGGCGUAAAGCGCACGUAGGCGGACUGAUCAGUCAGGGGUGAAAUCCCGGGGCUCAACCCCGGAACUGCCUUUGAUACUGUCAGUCUUGAGUCCGAGAGAGGUGAGUGGAACUCCGAGUGUAGAGGUGAAAUUCGUAGAUAUUCGGAAGAACACCAGUGGCGAAGGCGGCUCACUGGCUCGGUACUGACGCUGAGGUGCGAAAGCG
rnacentral:rRNA from 1 species